rnacentral:rRNA from 1 species
GACGAACGCUGGCGGCGUGCUUAACACAUGCAAGUCGAACGGAAAGGCCCUGCUUUUGUGGGGUGCUCGAGUGGCGAACGGGUGAGUAACACGUGAGUAACCUGCCCUUGACUUUGGGAUAACUUCAGGAAACUGGGGCUAAUACCGGAUAGGAGCUCCUGCUGCAUGGUGGGGGUUGGAAAGUUUCGGCGGUUGGGGAUGGACUCGCGGCUUAUCAGCUUGUUGGUGGGGUAGUGGCUUACCAAGGCUUUGACGGGUAGCCGGCCUGAGAGGGUGACCGGCCACAUUGGGACUGAGAUACGGCCCAGACGCCUACGGGAGGCAGCAGUGGGGAAUAUUGCACAAUGGGCGGAAGCCUGAUGCAGCAACGCCGCGUGCGGGAUGACGGCCUUCGGGUUGUAAACCGCUUUCGCCUGUGACGAAGCGUGAGUGACGGGAAUGGGGAAAGAAGCACCGGCGAACUACGU